rnacentral:rRNA from 1 species
GAUGAACGCUAGCGGCAGGCCUAAUACAUGCAAGCCGAACGGUAAGAUUUGUAGCAAUACGAGUCCUAGAGUGGCGUAAGGGUGCGUAACACGUAUGCAAUCUGCCCGCAACUGGAGGAUAGCUCGGGGAAACCCGGAUUAACCCUCCAUAAGAUCACACAAUGGCAUCAAAGAGUGAUUAAAUCUCCGGAGGUUGCGGAUGAGCAUGCGGUUGAUUAGCUAGUUGGUAGUGUAACGGACUACCAAGGCAAUGAUCAAUAGGGGGAACUGAGAGGUUGAACCCCCACACUGGCACUGAGAUACGGGCCAGACUCCUACGGGAGGCAGCAGUAGGGAAUAUUGGUCAAUGGGUGAAAGCCUGAACCAGCCAUGCCGCGUGCAGGAAGAAGGCC